rnacentral:rRNA from 1 species
GAAAUGCGAUAAGUAAUGUGAAUUGCAGAAUUCAGUGAAUCAUCGAAUCUUUGAACGCACCUUGCGCUCCUUGGUAUUCCGAGGAGCAUGCCUGUUUGAGUGUCAUUAAUUUCUCAACCUCACCGACUUUUGUUGUGUGAAGGCUUGGAUGUGGGGGUUGCAGGGCUCACGUUUGUGGGUCUGCUCCUCUGAAAUGCAUUAGUGGGUUAGUCCCCUAAUCUAUUGGUGUGAUAAUUAUCUACGCCGUUGAUUAGGAUGGCUGUUAAGACCUGCUUCUAACCGUCCUUUCGGACAACUCUUGACAAUUUUGACCUCAAAUCAGGUAAGACUACCCGCUGAACUUAA